rnacentral:rRNA from 1 species
AGCAGCCGCGGUAAUUCCAGCUCCAAUAGCGUAUAUUAAAGUUGUUGCAGUUAAAAAGCUCGUAGUUGAAUUUCGGGAUUGACGUGACGGUCAUGCCUUAAGGGGUAUGAACUGUUACAGUUGAUUUCUCACCUUCUGGAGAAACUUGAUGUCCUUUAUUGGGUGUCUUGCGGAUCCAGGACCUUUACCUUGAAAAAUUAGAGUGUUUAAAGCAGGCAUUUUUGCUCGAAUACAUUAGCAUGGAAUAAUAGAAUAGGACGGCAUGGUUCUAUUUUGUUGGUUUCUAGGAUCACCGUAAUGAUUAAUAGGGAUAGUUGGGGGCAUUAGUAUUCAAUUGUCAGAGGUGAAAUUCUUGGAUUUAUUGAAGACUAACUACUGCGAAAGCAUUUGCCAAGGAUGUUUUCAUUAAUCAAGAACGAAAGUUAGGGGAUCGAAGACGAUCAGAUACCGUCGUAGUCUUAACCAUAAACUAUGCCGACUAGGAAUCAGACGAUGUUAAUUUUUAAUGACUCGUUUGGCA